GUGCUUGGGGAAUCUUGGCCGUUAUAUGGCCAAGUAUUUCAAUGGAAAAAAUCUGUAGCUAUAAGGUGCAAAGAAAGAUUGAUUCCUUCUGUGUUCUAACUCAAUCACUAAACUUGUAAGAUACAGGGCCAGGACUCAAGUGAUUUUGAAUUUGUUAACGAUGCCUGGAAUCAAGAUCCGUGAUGAAGAUCGAGAAAAAAUCCCUGCGAAGUAUAUAUGUACUUACUGUCAUC